GUGGUACUCCCUCCGUUCGGAAUUACUUGUCUCGGAUAUGGAUGUAUCUUCUAGAUACAUCCAUAUCCGAGACAAGUAAUUCCGAACGGAGGGAGUAAUUG
rfam:Triticum urartu cultivar G1812 contig1028850, whole genome shotgun sequence.